AUGAUGGUAUUGACAGGCUUAAAGACAAGUGUCUUAUUACUAUUGAAGGUGGAUAUGUUCGGAUGCAUGACUUACUACAAGAUAUGGGUCAAGAAAUUGUUCGUCUAGAAUCACCCAACGAACCUGGUCAACGUAGUAGAUUAUUUUUUCACGAGGAUGUCUGUCAUGUGUUGGAAGAAAGCAUGGGCACAAACAGAGUUGGAGGCAUGAUGAUACAAAUGCCUAAAGGUGAGGAAGUGAUAAGGUUGAAUUCUGAAGCAUUUGUACAGAUGAAAAGACUUAGAGUGCUUAUCAAUCGUAAUGCAAGUUUUUCAAGUGGACCUAAUUAUCUCUCCAAUGAAUUAAGAGUACUUGAUUCGUUUGGAUAUCCGCUACAAUCUUUGCCACCCAAUUUCCAUGGAAAUAAACUCAUUAUCUUUAAAAUGUGUGGUAGCUUCAUCAGGGAGUUAAGCUUCAUCAACUUUAAGAAUAUGACAAUUAUGGAUUUUAGUGAUUGUAAGUUUUUAACAAAAGUUCCAAAUCUUUCAAGCAUCCCAAAUUUGAAGGAAUUGAUUGCUAGAUGGUGUAGAAGUUUAGUUGAGGUGUAUAAUUCCGUCGGAUCCAUAGCGUAUCUUUGUCAAUUGAAUUUUCGUGGAUGCUCUAACCUUGAAAAUUUUCCAACAGGCCUCAAGUUGAGAUCUUUACAAUUCCUUGAUCUUUCUUAUUGCUCAAGCCUUCGUAGCUUUCCUAAAAUUGAGUGUGAAAUGAAAUUUUAAACUGGGUUGAAUCUAUCCCACACUACAGUGGAAGAACUACCUUUAUCAAUUGGCAAUCUUGCUAGACUUGAUAGAUUACUUCUAGAUGGCUGCAAAAACCUUAAGCGUCUCCCAAUUAACUUUAUUCUUCGGUUACCACAUUUAACUGAACUUGGGAUAUUUGCUGGUUGUACAAAUCUAGUAAAGAAGAUGGGGUAUGAUGGACAAUCCAUUCUAGCUAUUGGGUCUACAAUAAUGGAAGACGAGAUUUCAUCGAAUGAAGAACAACUCCAGGAAUUGGUGCCUCCAACAAAUUCAAGCAAUGAAAGCAGUGCAUUACAAGUGUUGAAUCAUCAUAAUUGUUUUCAAUCAGAAUCAAAUUUCUUUCCAAUAUCAAGUUUCUUUACCAUGUUUGAUUCUUCGACCACUUUGACUUAUUUAGUUCUAUCGGGAAGUGAAUUUGUUAGCCUUCCCACGAUCAUCAAAGGAUUUGUCGCACUUCAUGAGCUCUGUUUGAUGCAUUGCGAGAAACUUGAAGAAAUCUUAGAACUUCCACCAAAUAUAGUAAUAGUAGAAGCUGCAGGAUGCAAGUCAUUAGAAAGAUUUCCAGAAGUAUCAAGAAUAAUGGAAUUCAAUGGAAGCCACAUUAGAUCUCUAAAAGGGAUUGGCUUGGAUGGCUGCGACAAAAUGCAUGAGAAGAUUUGGAAUUAUAAAAGUGUCAAAUCCAUUACUGCGGAAGGCCGGACAUUAUAGAACCAAUGAGGACAGGGAGGAAGAAGAACGAGUAAUAAAUAUUGAGGGGCCAAACCAUUUGGAGGAUAUAAGCGGAAUUGUGGUGUAUGCCUCCAUUUUUUAUACAGGUCAUAUUGAUUACGCUGUAUAUGAUUCCGCUAUGGUAACCAUUAAAACCUCAAAUUGUGUAUGGCGAUUCAAAACUAAUGAAGCGUUAUGCUUGUCUAAUACUGAUAAAACGAAUGAAUUUAAUAAUGAAGUAAUGGUGUUGUACUCCGAUUUAGAAUCGUUUGAGCCAAAGGUUUUGGACGAUUUGGUUGUUCAACUUGAUAUUCCUACUUUUCUUCCGGGACUGUAUUAUGGGAGUUUGGGAGCCAAUAUUGUAUACAUGCAUGAAAGCAGAGCACAUAAAAGAAGAAAAAUGGAUUGAAUUAAAUGAUUGGCCAAGUGGUAUGGAAUUUCAGUUGUAGCAGGAUUUUUCAGUCCAUCCAAUUCAAAGGACAGAGAAGAAAUUGAAGAAAGUGAACACGGGGUGUUUGAUGAAAUGCCCCAGUUAACUUGAGAGCACCAAGAGUCUACUGUUUCUAUUUAUAAUGUGCAUUACAUCAACACAAGAGAUAUUUUGCCGUUGGAGACUUGUGUCUAUACAAGGUUACUUGCGGAAAUGAAAUAAUACAAAGUUGACAAAGUUGAAAUUAGCCGUUGCAUGGAUUGGGGUUGCCAUAUGGAUGAUCGUGAGAAUCUUUAGCAAAUGGGGAUGCGUUAACCAUGGCUGUGGCUAUUGCCGUGAGAGAUGGGUCUUCAUUUGCAUUGUACGAGAAUUUUGGACUAAUAGCCGUUGAAGUAAUGAGCAGCGGAUUACCCACCUUAAUUUGCAACAGAGGAGGUCCAGGAGAAAUAAUUGUUGAUGGAAUCUCAACGUUUCACAUUGUAUAAUGGUGACGAAUUGAGCCACAAGAUUGUUGAUUUCUUUGAAAUGUGCAAGGCGGGUCCUGAAAAUUGGAAUAAGAUCGCAAAAGCUAGUCUCUAGCGUAUAAAUAAAUCCUACGCAUGGAAGAUUUAAGCAAACAAGCUGCUGAACAUGGGAGCAGCGUAUGGAUUAUGGAGGCAGAUGAACAAGGAACAAAAGUUAGCUAAACAAAAACAUAUCAACAUAUUCUACAAUCUCCAAUUUAGGAAUUUGUGGAGUUUUUACAACUAUAUUUAGGCAUGUUGAAACUUAUCAAAAAAAAUAUUUAGGCAAAUUGAAGUCAUAAACAUUUAUAUUGAGUUCUAUUCAUUGUAUCAUAGGGAAGGAGUUUGCUCAUCCCAAGCGAAGAACCCCAACAAGCAACACCAGCUGCGACGUCUAAAGCCUAAACAACCAGCCAUAACGUCGACAACUGAAUCCCAGUCCAGACCAAGGCAUAUAAGCUAACUCUUAAGAAAAUAUAAUUUUUUUUAAAAAAAUUUACUGAACAAAAGUUAUUUGAUUUCCUUCCAUGGUUGUAAGUUAUGCAGAAGGGGGCAUAGAACAAGUUAGAGAAAAUGGUAGAAUUAAGAAGAAAUUAGUUUUCAUGUUUUUUAUUAAUGCAUAUUUCUUAUGCAACAAAUGGUCCUUUUAAAUAGUAAGAGAGGAAAUGCAAUAAAUGGACCAUUCUUGGUUCUCGGUCUUUUAAUUUAUUACCACCCAAUAUGAAACUGUAUCUUUUGUUCAUAUAGCUAAAGUGGAAGCAAGAUGUAGUGAGGAAAUAUAUCACUAAAUAUAGAAAAUGUAUAUUGUCAGGCAAGCAAACCAUUAGAAAGACUUCAAGAAAUAUCAAGAAUAUUGGAAUUCAAUGGAAGCCAUAUCCGAUCGCUAAAUUGUAUUAUCUGCAGUGGCUGUGACAAAUUGCAUGAGAAGAUUUGGACUUAUAAAGUGCCAAAUUCAUUGCUGUGGAAGGUAUGUAUGUACGUGUCUCAUGCUCUCUCUCAAUUCUAUAUAGGAGGCAUGCCACUAUGUUACCAGAAAAUUAGAUUCCAUAAUGGUUUGGGCAUCAGAAAGAAUUUUUAGAAAAUGAAAUUGUCAAGUUGGGGUAUGAAGAAGGGGUAAUAAAUAUUGAGGGGCCACACCAUUUGGAUGAUAUAAACGAAAUUGUAGGAUAUGCUUUUAUGUUUUUUAAAGAAGAAUGUGAGCUUGGGGUUGUUUGUAUCAUGAUGCUAAGGUAACCAUUAACAGCUCAAAUCGUGUAGGCCAUAUCGAUUGUAAUGAAGUGCUAUAUUUCAUUAAGGAUGAGCUAUAAUGAUGAUCUAAUGAAUAAAACCAGAGGCCAAUAAAAUGAUCUUUCUUCGUCCUUGAAACCAAAUUGAUCAACACAGUACUUUCGAACAAAAAUUACUUUAUACGUAAAUUAAACAUAAGUCUAUAUAGGUUUAGGUUUACUGAUAAUUAAUUCCAGUGUGAAGUUAAUUUAGACCUUUGAUUCUUCUUAAUUUAUUGAUUUCUUCAAGUACUGGCCAGGGAUCAUAUAAAUUAGACAUCCGAAGCUUCAAUUAUUUCCAUAGGAAGAGAAGUGCUUUUACCGUUUAUAUUCCAAACUAUAAAGAUUUACAAAAGUACCAAGAAUAUUGGAAUGCAAUGGAAGCCACAUCAAAUCACUACAAGUGAUUGGCUUGGAGGGCUGCGACAAAAUGCAUGAAAAGAUUUGGAAUUAUAAAGUGCCAAAUCCAUUACUAUGGAAGGGAUCCUCUUUGGGAACGGUAUUAUAUAAGUUGGGGAGCCAAUGUUGUAUACAAGCACCAAAGUAGAGCACAAAGAAGUUCUUUGGAAUUUCAGAAUGUUCAACCUUUUGAUUCACAUGUAGCAGGGAGUUUGUGUCAGCCCAGAUUGGUGGGUUAUACAGAGGCUCGGGAAGAUCAUCAAGAUAAUGCGAGACAGAGUUGGGGCAGAAAGGGGCUUGGGCGGGCCAAUGUGCAUGCCUACGAGCAACAAGGUCAUGUUGUGAAGCCUCAGAUUCUUGUGGUAACAAGAUUCUUGUGGAACACAGGAUAUUUCCAUGACAGGUGCAUAUAACUAACAGUGGCCUCGUCUCAUCUUCAAAAACCCCUAAAUUCACUGUCCUGCAGCUUGCUGACGCUGAGGGAGGGGGACGACCUCAAAUGGCUCGCUUUAUCCAAACCGCUCAAAGAACGCUCCGCUAUUCUUCUUCUCAGAAUACUCCGCACUGAGAUCCAGUAUACAGAGGCAAUGUGCACCUUCACCUUAGCUUGCUUGUUAAUAUCUCUAGGGGCGACGGUUGUAAUGAAUUGGAGUUUCUGUGCUCGUCUUGGCCCGACUCUUUGGAGGUUCAGAAAGUUUAUUUACUUAGGCGCAAUCGAAUGCUGGCUAAGACUUAAGAGGCAAUGGGAGUAAAUGACGAUCUCUUCGUUUUCUUGCAUGUAUAUAUGAACUUAUCCGGUGGUUGCCGAUUGGGAAGUGUCAAGAAUUUUGUACAAAAAUAGGAGAAAACGCUUUUUACGGUUUGUCUGAGAUUCAUUGAUCCAAAUUUCUAAUUUUAUUCGAUCUAUUGGACGCUGGGCUCAAAACUCAGGAUAAAAGUUCACCUAGACUUGUAAACUUGGUAAGACUCUGCAUAUAUGGUAUAUACGCAGAUUCAUUGUCAGGACCA